rnacentral:lncRNA from 1 species
CGGAGAUUUGUGAUUGCUCUUUCUCCUCAGUAACAGCAGCCAUCCCUUUAUUCAAGACCUGAGAGGCCACAUUAUCUUUGGAGGAGGCUGGACAGCAUGAGUCGAAGGCUCUAGAGAAGAUUGAGAAUGUUCCAAAAGUCUACCACCACACUACUUUGGAAAGGCCAAGGGUAAACAGCUUCAGGGCAUGCCCACGUGGACUAGGACGGAAAAUAGUCCUUUUCAACCACAGAGAAAAGUGCAGCCUGCUCUUGCCAGUGUGGGGAGACAGAUCUUCCAGCUGGAUCACCCUUACUCCUCUUCAGGAUCGAAGAUGGAGCAAUCUUUUAAGAACAAAAAUCGCUGGAGUCUCCUGGUGGCUGAGUGGUUAAGUUCCCGCGCUCUGCUUCAGCGGCCCAGGGUUUUCCCGGUUCAGAUCCUGGGUGCAGACAUGGCACCGCUCAUCAAGCCACACUGAAGCGGCAUCCCACAUGCCACAACUAGAAGGACCCACAACUAAAAUGUGCAAUUAUGUACUGGGGGGAUUUGGGGAGAAAAAGUAGAAGAACAAAAUAAAGAAGAUUGGCAAUAACUGUUAGCUCAGUGCCAAUCUUUUAAAAAGAAACCCAAAAAUUGUUCUGUCUUUCCUCUGUUUGAAAC